rnacentral:rRNA from 1 species
AUUGAACGCUGGCGGCAGGCUUAACACAUGCAAGUCGAGCGGGGUGAUGGUGCUUGCGCUAUCACUUAGCGGCGGACGGGUGAGUAAUGCUUAGGAAUCUGCCUAUUAGUGGGGGACAACAUCUCGAAGGGGAUGCUAAUACCGCAUACGUCCUACGGGAGAAAGCAGGGGAUCACUUGUGACCUUGCGCUAAUAGAUGAGCCUAAGUCGGAUUAGCUAGUUGGUGGGGUAAAAGCCUACCAAGGCGACGAUCUGUAGCGGGUCUGAGAGGAUGAUCCGCCACACUGGGACUGAGACACGGCCCAGACUCCUACGGGAGGCAGCAGUGGGGAAUAUUGGACAAUGGGGGGAACCCUGAUCCAGCCAUGCCGCGUGUGUGAAGAAGGCCUUAUGGUUGUAAAGCACUUUAAGCGAGGAGGAGGCUCUUUUGGUUAAUACCCAAGAUGAGUGGACGUUACUCGCAGAAUAAGCACCGGCUAACUCUGUGCCAGCAGCCGCGGUAA